rnacentral:rRNA from 1 species
GACGAACGCUGGCGGCGUGCCUAAUACAUGCAAGUAGAACGCUGUAGGAGGAGCUUGCUUCUCUGGAUGAGUUGCGAACGGGUGAGUAACGCGUAGGUAACCUGCCUGGUAGCGGGGGAUAACUAUUGGAAACGAUAGCUAAUACCGCAUAAGAGUAGAUGUUGCAUGACAUUUGCUUAAAAGGUGCAAUUGCAUCACUACCAGAUGGACCUGCGUUGUAUUAGCUAGUUGGUGGGGUAACGGCUUACCAAGGCGACGAUACAUAGCCGACCUGAGAGGGUGAUCGGCCACACUGGGACUGAGACACGGCCCAGACUCCUACGGGAGGCAGCAGUAGGGAAUCUUCGGCAAUGGACGGAAGUCUGACCGAGCAACGCCGCGUGAGUGAAGAAGGUUUUCGGAUCGUAAAGCUCUGUUGUAAGAGAAGAACGAGUGUGAGAGUGGAAAGUUCACACUGUGACGGUAUCUUACCAGAAAGGGACGGCUAACUACGUG